rnacentral:lncRNA from 1 species
UUUACCGACCUGAAGGAUGAAAAAGAGGCACCCAUUCCUGCCUGCCUGCCGCUUACCACUUUCCAGCUGCCAAAGCAGCUGCAUGGGAAGCAAGCCUGAAACAGAAGGAACAGGACCAAAGAGAUCUGUAGACGAGGGCGGCAGAAUAGCUUCACCACCAUCUUGCAUUCUUGGAUACCAGGCUUCGACUCUAUCCGACCUACAGUCUACGCCCAGGCCCACCCGCAGGUCACCGUGCCUCUCCCAGCACCCUUUGCAAGAGUACAAAAUUUAAAAGCUGCAGUUUGCCGGGGCAGGGGCGACAUGGACAGAGAUUUUUUUCCCUUAACCUAUGUGAGCAAGUCGUUUUAAUUUUCCGAGUCAAGACGCCCCAUCCGGGAAAUGGACACGUUGACAAUAUCCAAAGACAUCUGGAGAGCCAGAAUUUAGUGACCGAGCCAGAGCCACAGCUAACACUGGAACAGAAGAUCCCCUGACAACGAACAACAAUAACAUCGCUUCUAAGAACUCCAGCAUCAAGGGUUUUGAAAGUGA